ensembl:lncRNA
CAGUGCCCCCCCCCCCCCCAUGUAUCUACAGCCCAUUCUUCUCAGUUUGCCCACUGGGCUUUGGUGUGCCCUCACACACCAACACGUACCCACCAACGCUCAACUUCACAGAUCACCCUGACCCCAAGGGAAACUUGUACUGAAAGCAGAGGUGCUGCUCUUUGUUCUGGUCAGUGGUGCAAGGGGAUGUGAAGACAGAGACACCGAGAGAGACGUGCCAUGAUGGGAUGCCCUUGGGAGGCUCUGCAAGAGAGAGGAGGGAGAAAAGCCCGUGUCCUCCCAGCCAUGCCUGAGGUUUCACUGGAAAUUACAGACCGUGAGAGGCUGGGUUUAACUUCCCAGCAGGUUGUGUUUGAUCUGGAGCAGAAAGACCGGUCAGAUGGAUGCUCAGCCCCACCAGACAGGUAAAGUCUCAGAGAAGAUGCAAAGGCUUCUGCCCCCUGCAACACUAGACCCAUCGUUAGUCCCAAGCAGCACUGCCUGGUCCUGCUGCCUGCUCCCUUCUUCCCCCUCUUGCAGAAGACAUUGCUCCCCAGGCACCAACCCCAUGGCCUUUCCCUGCCUCCUCCAACCUGCAGCCCCCAAACCAGCCCUCAUCGUAUCAGCACCGGUUUGGUUCAGCCAGGAUAUUUCACAAGAGAGUCCAGCAGCACUGGAAACACAAGAAAUCAUUCCAUAAACAGCCUGCUGUUUUUAUACUCAGUUGGAAAUUGGCCCAGGACACCUCGUUCCAAAGCGCACCCCUCCUUCACCCAAUAUAAGAGGCUAUGCCACUCACCAUGCCGCAUCCAGCAUCUUCCCCAGAGGAAUCAGCCAUGGGAACCCCAUCUUCAGAAGAGAAGAGUUUGGCACAGCCUCAGCAUCACUGGGGUUGCUGCAGGACCCCAUGCAUCGUUUCCCAGCUUGAGCUUGCAAGUGCUGCUGGGGAUGGCACAGCGAUGCUGCAGGUGUAAGGUGUGGAGAAUUCUCUGUGGUCUGAUUUGCUCAAAGCUUGUAUGAGAUAAUGUCCUUUUAAAAUGCAAGUUCCCAUUCAUUGAAAAAUGUACUAUGGCAAACCCAGUCCUUUUCCAGCUCCUUACCCCACUGGCCUGGGGCACAGGGCAUCCACACUGGGUCUCCCAUGCC